rnacentral:tRNA from 1 species
AAAAAAUUAGUUUAAUCAAAACAUUAGUAUGUCAAACUAAAAAUAUUAAUUUAUAAUAUUUUUUU